UGGGGAAUAUUGCACAAUGGGCGCAAGCCUGAUGCAGCCAUGCCGCGUGUGUGAAGAAGGCCUUCGGGUUGUAAAGCACUUUCAGCGGGGAGGAAGGCGUUAAGGUUAAUAACCUUGGCGAUUGACGUUACCCGCAGAACAAGCACCGGCUAACUCCGUGCCAGCAGCCGCGGUAAUACGGAGGGUGCAAGCGUUAAUCGGAAUUACUGGGCGUAAAGCGCACGCAUGCGGUCUCUCAAGUCGGAUGUGAAAUCCCCGGGCUCAACCUGGGAACUGCAUUCGAGACUGGCAGGCUAGAGUCUUGUAGAGGGGGGUAGAAUUCCAGGUGUAGCGGUGAAAUGCGUAGAGAUCUGGAGGAAUACCGGUGGCGAAGGCGGCCCCCUGGACAAAGACUGACGCUCAGGUGCGAAAGCGUGGGGAGCAAACAGG
rnacentral:rRNA from 1 species